UGGAGAGUUUGAUCCUGGCUCAGAUUGAACGCUGGCGGCAGGCCUAACACAUGCAAGUCGAGCGGAUGAAGGGGGCUUGCUCCCUGAUUCAGCGGCGGACGGGUGAGUAAUGCCUAGGAAUCUGCCUGGUAGUGGGGGACAACGUUUCGAAAGGAACGCUAAUACCGCAUACGUCCUACGGGAGAAAGCAGGGGACCUUCGGGCCUUGCGCUAUCAGAUGAGCCUAGGUCGGAUUAGCUAGUUGGUGAGGUAAUGGCUCACCAAGGCUGCGAUCCGUAACUGGUCUGAGAGGAUGAUCAGUCACACUGGAACUGAGACACGGUCCAGACUCCUACGGGAGGCAGCAGUGGGGAAUAUUGGACAAUGGGCGAAAGCCUGAUCCAGCCAUGCCGCGUGUGUGAAGAAGGUCUUCGGAUUGUAAAGCACUUUAAGUUGGGAGGAAGGGCAGUAAGUUAAUACCUUGCUGUUUUGACGUUACCGACAGAAUAAGCACCGGCUAACUCUGUGCCAGCAGCCGCGGUA
rnacentral:rRNA from 2 species